GUUACCUGUAUAUGUAAGUCGCUCUGGAUAAGAGCGUCUGCUAAAUGACGUAAA
rfam:Salmo salar isolate Sally breed double haploid chromosome ssa06, whole genome shotgun sequence.